rnacentral:rRNA from 1 species
AUUGAACGCUGGCGGUAUGCUUAACACAUGCAAGUCGAACGGUAGCAGGCCUUCGGGCGCUGACGAGUGGCGGACGGGUGAGUAAUGCGUAGGAAUCUGCCUGGUAGUGGGGGACAACUUAUGGAAACGUAAGCUAAUACCGCAUACGCCCUACGGGGGAAAGCGGGGGACCUUCGGGCCUCGCGCUAUCAGAUGAGCCUACGUCAGAUUAGCUAGUUGGUGGGGUAAAGGCCUACCAAGGCGACGAUCUGUAGCUGGUCUGAGAGGAUGAUCAGCCACACUGGGACUGAGACGCGGCCCAGACUCCUACGGGAGGCAGCAGUGGGGAAUAUUGGACAAUGGGCGGAAGCCUGAUCCAGCAAUACCGCGUGUGUGAAGAAGGCCUGAGGGUUGUAAAGCACUUUCAAUUGGGAGGAAAACCCACCGGCCAAUACCCGGUGGCUUGACAUUACCUUUAGAAGAAGCAUCGGCUAACUCCGUGCCAGCAGCCGCGGUAAGAC